rnacentral:rRNA from 1 species
GUCAUUGGAAACUGGGAACUUGAGUGCAGAAGAGGAGAGUGGAAUUUCACGUGUUAGCGGUGAAAUGCGUAGAGAUGUGGAGGAACACCAGUGGCGAAAGGCGACUCUCUGGUCUGUAACUGACGCUGAGGAGCGAAAGCGUGGGGAGCGAACAGGAUUAGAUACCCUGGUAGUCACGCCGUAAACGAUGAGUGCUAAGUGUUAGGGGGUUUCCGCCCCUUAGUGCUGCAGCUAACGCAUUAAGCACUCCGCCUGGGGAGUACGGUCGCAAGACUGAAACUCAAAGGAAUUGACGGGGGCCCGCACAAGCGGUGGAGCAUGUGGUUUAAUUCGAAGCAACGCGAAGAACCUUACCAGGUCUUGACAUCCUCUGACAAUCCUAGAGAUAAGAACGUCCCCUUCGGGGGCAGAGUGACAGGUGGUGCAUGGUUGUCGUCAGCUCGUGUCGUGAGAUGUUGGGUUAAGUCCCGCAACGAGCGCAACCCUUGAUCUUAGUUGCCAGCAUUCAGUUGGGCACUCUAAGGUGACUGCCGGUGACAAACCGGAGGAAGGUGGGGAUGACGUCAAAUCAUCAUGCCCCUUAUGACCUGGGCUACCCCCCUGCUACAAUGGACAGAACAAAGGGCAGCGAAUCCUCGAGGUUAAGCCAAUUCCACAA